UUGGAUAUUUAAUUUAUACAUAAUUAGAUGUAUUCUAGCUGACUUAGUUUCUACGAAAAUUGUAUAUUUAAAUGUGUAUUCUUACUGCAGGUGCUUAUAACUUAUAAAAAAAACAAGGAACAUGAGCAAUUUAACUUAAAUAUGAUAUAUUUAUGGAUAAUGUAAUGGCAUACCAUUUCGUUCUAUUUAAAUUCUAAGCAGAAAAACAAGGAUGAUGGAUAGAACAUCACAGUUGCAAUAACUUAUAGAAAAAACAAGGUACAUAAAUAAUUUAUCUCAAAUAUGAUAUACUUAUUGAUGAAUUAUGUGAUAAUUCCAUUUAAUUAUCAUCCCAGAAAUAUCCAGUGAAGAGAAAAACAAGGAUGAAGAAUAGAAAAACACAGCUUUGAUGAUAGUACAUUUUAUUGUGAAUCUUGCAACGGACCACUUCCAUCAUAGACUUUUGGAAUACCUUUUACUGGACUCUCACAGUUUCUUGAAGUAAUAUGUGAGCUUGCAGAGACAACAGACUACAAAAAAAGAUGAAUAAUAUUAAAUAUGUGAGCAUGAAUAUUAUAAUCAUGUACAAAGGGAGUUGGAGCAAAUAAAGAAGCCUUUGUUCUUUAAGAAUAAGUGAGACGACAGUGUAAAUUUUAAGAACUUGUUUUAGUUAUGUAUUUUUUAUAUUGACUUUU